UUAAUUUUCACGUUGUCAUGAAUCUCAUUUAAAAGUUUUACAUCUUAUACCAGGUUUUUGAAACAUUUGUUGAAUCUACACUAUUGUACAACCAACAUUUGUCCUUGACUACCCAGUUGAGAUAUCACCAUUGGCAAAACCACAUCGGAGCAUCAUAGUACAGCUGUCACGUCCCUGAGGAUGUAGCUGUGGGAGCUCGCUGGCCACCGGUUUCGUACCCGUGGUGGAUGGUGGCAAGGUAGGUAGCAGGGAGAUGAGAUAACAGAGAAAAUAGGUGAAAAUGGGAUUGGCUGUAAUUGCUUGUUUAUUGCUGAACCAGACCUUCCUGAUUAAUCCCAAAUACCCCUCCUUUUGCCUAAUUAGCCCCUGUUACGAGCGCCUAUAAAUGUUCCCGACCAUAACAAUAGCUCAAGGUUACACCUGGAAACUGGGGAGAAAAGGAAGAUGUAAUUCAGUCUGAGUUUUAUAAUAUGUUAUUUAGGUGAUCAUUAAGAUAGAUGGAAA